ensembl:lncRNA
AAAAGUAAAAGCAGAUAUAACAGAAAUGGUCAAAAAUUACCCUCAAUUGGGCAUAAUGGAAAACAAAUAGAUUUUGUAUACCUGAAACUGGCAAACUUUUCAUUUAUGUUGCUGUCACUUAAGUUACAAAAUGUAUUGUUUAUAGAAGGAUUUCCUACAACCUGUUUCAUAAUCACAGUAUAUGAAAAACAUCCUAAUAACCGAUACAGAUAAAACUGCUUCUGAUAAGAUAAAUGGCAUAUGCAGAAUACUUAACAACAACCAUAACAUAAUCUAAACAGACUACUGAAGAAAUAAAAACCUAUCACAGAUAACUACACUGAUUAUUACUGACCUUAAAUUUCAAUUUACUUUUCAGAUUUCUGCUGUAAAGAAGGUGCUGUCGGGAAAACAACACGUUCCCCUUAAAAACCUCCAGCUGAAGGAGGUAAUGGUGGAAUUUAAGUUUUAUAUUGAAAAUGGUUAAACUAAUGUGACAAAUUUGACAUUGCUGGUACAGAAUGUAUGAGGCUGUGAGCUUUUUUUCUAGUUACUGGACUUGUUAUUAUUUAAUUAAUGAAUCUUUAAUUCUGUCAUGCUUGUGAUUUCAGGAUGGGUUUACCAUGGCAGUGUGCCUCUGGAGGGAGGCAGCUGUUAACAGCGUGAACGUGGGAGACCACAUCAGUCUCUCUCACGUUAAGCAGAAACAGUCCUCAUAUGGAGUACAACUUCAUAGUACAGCAUUUACACAGAUUGAGAGAAAUGUCGAGGACAGUGCUGACAUCAUCAUCAUUGGUGUGGCCACGGCAGAAAUGCCAAACCAGCUGGAGGUGUUGCUGGACAAUGGAAAGAGCCUCUACAUUCAAAGCGAGCUGUGGAGUCCCUUCGAUAAAGAACUGGAGGAGGCAGUAAUCAAAGUUACAGUUAAAAUAAGCGGAAAGCAAAUUGUACAUAUUCAAAAAUAUCAGUGCGAAUAAUUUAAAGAAAAUGUACAGUUCCUUUGUUCACUUUGUUCAAAAAUGUGAGAGAUUGUAUUUUAUAACUUAAAAAGAAUGAUUUUUUUUCCUAUCAGUAUUUAUAAUUUUUAAUGAUAUUUUGUUAAGUUCUGUAUUAUAGUUAACAGUUUUAGUAUUUUCCAGCGUUAAGUAUUUAUAUAUUAAAAAGUCUACAUAAUAAUCUUAGAUUUGUGUUUGUUUUUAAUUUUUAGA